CUGGAAUUGAAAUUGUUCGACGUUUUACGGAGGUUAAUCUUCCUUUGAAUUUUCAGCACAGCAGAUUCGACAUUUUUCUCAAUUACUGGUUUGAAUAGAGGUUGCUGUCAAAUAUAGGAGGAUGGAGGCUCCAAUCUUCAUAUAGCCAUUGUGAUUCAGGUUUUCCAUGGUUUCUCUAAUUUACCUCAGGAUUUCAGGUGGUUACUACUGCAAAGCCACAGCCAACUACCUGUUGCAUCCUUGCCAUACUGUACUGCCCGGCAGCAGCCACAAACUCACUGACCCUCCUACCUACCUUGUUGAGGGCGCAGACGACCUUGCGGGUGAUAUUGCAGUCCUGCGGGUUCUCCAAACUGUGCAGCUGCCUCCAGGGUCACCAAUGUCUGACUGUAAGGACCUGUCCUUGAGAGACAGUUAUUUAAAUGUCGAUUAACAGUUCACCAAAUGAUCUGAGCUGGAGAAUAUAUAAAAAAUUAAUGGUGUACAAAAAACGCACCU